UGGCGCAGCUAACGCAUUAAGUUAUCCGCCUGGGGAGUACGGUCGCAAGAUUAAAACUCAAAGGAAUUGACGGGGGCCUGCACAAGCGGUGGAGCAUGUGGUUUAAUUCGAAGCAACGCGCAGAACCUUACCAGCCUUUGACAUCCUAGGACGGUUUCUGGAGACAGACUCCUUCCCUUCGGGGACCUAGUGACAGGUGCUGCAUGGCUGUCGUCAGCUCGUGUCGUGGGAUGUUGGGUUAAGUCCCGCAACGAGCGCAACCCUCGUCCUUAGUUGCCAUCAUUUAGUUGGGCACUUUAAGGAAACUGCCGGUGAUAAGCCGGAGGAAGGUGGGGAUGACGUCAAGUCCUCAUGGCCCUUACGGGCUGGGCUACACACGUGCUACAAUGGCAUCUACAGUGGGCAGCUAUCCCGCAAGGGUGAGCUAAUCUCCAAAAGAUGUCUCAGUUCGGAUUGUCCUCUGCAACUCGAGGGCAUGAAGGCGGAAUCGCUAGUAAUCGCGGAUCAGCAUGCCGCGGUGAAUACGUUCCCAGGCCUUGUACACACCGCCCGUCACACCAUGGGAGUUGGAUUCACCCGAAGGCAGUGCGCUAACCGCAAGGAGGCAGCUGA
rnacentral:rRNA from 1 species